GAUGAACGCUGGCGGCGUGCCUAACACAUGCAAGUCGAACGGCAACGCCCUAAUUUCGUGCGCUUACGGGGUGCGAAUGGCGUGCGUAACACGUGUACAUCCUGCUCUACUUUUUCGGAUAAGUUAACGAAGCUGGACUUACUCUAAUAUCGCAGACCACCUACGAUGGAGAGCGUUGGAUCGUCUCGGCGGUUGGGGAUGGAUUCGCGGCUUAUCAGCUUGUUGGUGGGGUAGUGGCUUACCAAGGCUUUGACGGGUAGCCGGCCUGAGAGGGUGACCGGCCACAUUGGGACUGAGAUACGGCCCAGACUCCUACGGGAGGCAGCAGUGGGGAAUAUUGCACAAUGGGCGGAAGCCUGAUGCAGCAACGCCGCGUGCGGGAUGACGGCCUUCGGGUUGUAAACCGCUUUCGCCUGUGACGAAGCGUGAGUGACGGUAAUGGGUAAAGAAGCACCGGCUAACUACGUG
rnacentral:rRNA from 1 species